AGACUCCCACCUGGGUAAUCGUUAGCCACGAGCCCAGUAUCCAGCCUUGCUGAACGCACGGUAACGGGCGGUUUGAUGCGUAGGCAGGAAAGCAGGCGAGGUGCAAGGGUAACGGGUGAAGCCGACCUUGAAGGUGUAGAGCCCCGAAAUUUUCAGGUGGAGAGUGCCGACGGGUUUGUCCCUCCGGCAGGCAACAACCCGCGUAGCGCC
rfam:Gammaproteobacteria bacterium RIFOXYD12_FTLL_61_37 rifoxyd3_full_scaffold_343, whole genome shotgun sequence.